UUCCGGUUGAUCCCGCCGGACCUGACUGCUAUCGGAUUGAUACUAAGCCAUGCGAGUCUUUGUAGUAAUACAAGGCAGACGGCUCAGUAACACGUAGUCAACCUACCCUAUGGACGAGAAUAAUCUCGGGAAACUGAGCAUAAUUCUCGAUAGAUCAUAAUGCCUGGAAUGGUUUAUGGUUAAAAUGAUUCGUCGCCAUAGGAUGGGACUGCGGCCUAUCAGCUUGUUGGUGAGGUAAUGGCCCACCAAGGCGAUUACAGGUACGGGCUCUGAGAGGAGAAGCCCGGAGAUGGGUACUGAGACACGGACCCAGGCCCUAUGGGGCGCAGCAGGCGAGAAAACUUUGCAAUGUGCGAAAGCACGACAAGGUUAAUCCGAGUGUUUUCUGCUAAAGAAAUCUUUUGUCAGUCAUAAAACCACUGGCGAAUAAGGGGUGGGCAAGUUCUGGUGUCAGCCGCCGCGGUAAAACCAGCACCUCAAGUGGUCAGGAUGAUUAUUGGGCCUAAAGCAUCCGUAGCCGGCUUUGUUAGUUUUCGGUUAAAUCCAUGUGCUCAACGCAUGGGCUGCCGAAAAUACUGCAUGGCUAGGGAGUGGGAGAGGUAGACGGUACUCAGUAGGAAGGGGUAAAAUCCUUUGAUCUAUUGAUGACCACCUGUGGCGAAGGCGGUCUACCAGAACACGUUCGACGGUGAGGGAUGAAAGCUGGGGGAGCAAACCGGAUUAGAUACCCGGGUAGUCCCAGCUGUAAACGAUGCAGACUCGAUGAUGCAUUGGCAUAAUAGCCAAUGCAGUGUCGCAGGGAAGCCGUUAAGUCUGCCGCCUGGGAAGUACGUACGCAAGUAUGAAACUUAAAGGAAUUGGCGGGGGAGCACCACAAGGGGUGAAGCCUGCGGUUCAAUUGGAGUCAACGCCGGG
rnacentral:rRNA from 1 species